rnacentral:misc_RNA from 1 species
AGCAGCCGCGGUAAUUCCAGCUCCAAUAGCGUAUAUUAAAGUUGUUGCAGUUAAAAGCUCGUAGUUGAAUUUCGGGAUCAAAGAAUCGGUCAUGCCUUGGUAUGUACUGGUUUUAUUGGUUCUCACCUUCUAAAGAACCAUGAUGUCAUUCAUUUGAUGUUAUGGGGAAUUAGGACUGUUACCUUGAAAAAUUAGAGUGUUUAAAGCAAGCUUACGCUUGAAUACAUUAGCAUGGAAUAAUGAAAUAGGACAUCAGAUUCUAUUUUGUUGGUUUCUAGGAUCGAUGUAAUGAUUAAUAGGGAUAGUUGGGGGCAUUAGUAUUCAAUUGUCAGAGGUGAAAUUCUUGGAUUUAUUGAAGCUAACUACUGCGAAAGCAUUUGCCAAGGAUGUUUUCAUUAAUCAAGAACGAAAGUUAGGGAUCGAGGACGAUCAGAUACCGUGUAGUCUUAACCAUAAACUAUGCCGACUAGGGAUCGGAUGAUGUUAAUUUUUAUGUACUCUACG